AAUAUACGUUCCAUGCCAUCGGCAGCUCCUAUAUAAACUAGAGAUGUCCAGAGAGCACCAAAUUACAGGCAGUAAUUGUCAUGAUAUAACCCUUCAACAACUCAUGAACCAAUGUUAUCUGCUUUAAAUUUGGUCCAGUGGAAUCAAUAUCAACAAAACACCUUGCUUGAUCAUGUAACAUGCCUUCUCAAUCAAUUAAACCCAAGCUCAUUACAUUAACAGAUUCAUCCUUGAACUAUCAUA
rnacentral:misc_RNA from 1 species